CUUUUCUUCUCCAUGCUGCAGGCCACCAAAAAAGACUCCCCCUUGUCCUAACACCCCCUCCUCCCUUCCACCCCUCUUUCCUUUCUCCUCAAAUUUCUCUCUGAAAUUCUUCAACUUCACUUGAGUUUUCAGACUUGCUUUUUGAUUUUUAUUUGUUCAUAAGAAGACACCCUUUUGGCUUUCUUGGUUGUGGGAUUGUUGAUUGAGCCUGAAAAUUUAAGGUAUGAAUGAGUAAAGACUGAAUUUUUGAGUUUCAAUGGAUCUUUGAUUAUGAAGUUGAGUUUCUAACCUGCCUUUUUGUUUGUUCAUAGGAAGAUACCCUUUUGGAUUUCUUGGUUUUGGAAUUAUUGGUUGAGCUGAAACAUUGAGGUAUAAAAUGAGUAAAGAUUGAUUUUUUUUGAGUUUUGUUGGAUCUUUGAUAAUGAAGUUGAGUUUCAAACCUUCUUUGUUGAUACUUAUUUGUUCAUAGGAAGAGACCCUUUUGGCUUUCUUGGUUGUGGAAUUUUUGGUUGUGUUGAAAAUUUGAGGUAUGAAUGAGUAAAGAUUGAAACUUUGAGUUUUGUUGGAUCUUUGAUUAUGAAAUUGAGCUUUUUUGGUUAUUAUUUGUUCAUAGGAAGAUACCCUUUUGGAUUUCUUGGUUGUGGAUUAUUGGUUGAGCUGAAAAUUUGAGGUAUGAAUGAGUAAAAAUUGAAUUUUGAGUUUUGUUGGAUCUUUGAUUAUGAAGUUGAAUUUCAGACCUGCUUUUUGAAUUUUUUUGUUCGUAGAGAGAUACCCCUUUGUCCUUUUUGGUUGUGGUUUUUUUUAAUUGAGCUGAAAAUUUGAGGUAUGAAAUGAGUAAAGAUUGAAUUUUGAGUUUGUUGGGUCCUUGAUAAUGAAGUUAAGUUUCAAACCUGCUUUUUUGGUUCUUAUUUUGUGCAUAGGAAGAGACCGUUUUGGCCAUUUUGGUUGUGGGAUUGUUGAUUGAGCUGAAAACUUGAUGUAUGAUAUGAGUAAUGAUUGAAUUUUAACUUUGUUGGAUCUUUGAUUUUGAGUGUUUGAGUCAAUGUGUGCAGCCUGAUUCUUGGUGGGUUCUUUGAAUUCUUUGAUUCUUUGUUUAGAUUCACCACUUGGAUAUAGGGUGUUUGGAUUUUCAGGUGAAAUGAAUACCAUACGAGUAGAAGAUUUGUCAAAAUUCAUUGUUUUAUGUCUUUUGUAUGCAAUUUGUCAGGAUUCUAAGUGGUCGGUUAUCUAAUAGUUUAGAGGAUAGCAUUAUGUCACUUCUUCUUGAAUUUUAUUGAAUCAAUCUUGAUCAUCGGAGAAACGUUUAGUUUCUUUAUGGUACAUUUGAAUUCAUUUAAUGUAGGACUUAUUAUUAUUAUAGCCACUGCCUGCUGGAAGUUCUUGCCGCGAAGAGAGAAAAUGUCGGGAGGAGGUACGCAGAACAGCUUAAGAAAAACCCUUGGAGCACUUAAGGAUACAACUACUGUCAGUUUAGCUAAAAUUAAUAGCGGCUAUAAGGUAAUGAUAUUCUUUUGCUGCCUAUUCUCGUUCUAUUUCCAUUUUGGGGUGCUCUCUUAAUACCUGUUUCCUUAAUGUUCUUUAGGAAUUGGAUAUUGCUAUAGUUAAGGCAACGAAUCAUGUUGAACAGCCAGCAAAAGAGAAGUACAUAAGAGGUAAAAGCAUCAGAUCGUCAUGUUAUGGAGAUGUAACUUACUGAAUUAUAGCGAUAAAUGCAUCCAGGAUGGGACUUGAUAGAAUUUUUCGGUUCUCAUUUUCAGCCAUUUUUUCUGCCAUUUCGGCUACCAGGCCUCGAGCUGAUGUUGCAUACUGCAUUCAUGCUCUCGCAAGAAGAUUGUCGAAGACGCAUAAUUGGGCGGUAUGAAUAAUUAAUUCAAUAUAGUAGCACCUUUUUCAUGAAAGAUAAUUAUAAGCAUGUCCCACACCUUUUAGAUAAGUAGUCUUCAAAAUACUGAUUUGACAAAGUCCUUUAGUUUAAUCUUUGUUCCUUAUUUACAGCCUCACAAAUUACCAUAAAGAUUCUAAGAGUAGACGUGAGAUACAACUGCUCCAUAUGGCUUUAUUUGUAAACAUUUCAAGAUAGAUAUUCGUUUUACUUUUCUUUUCUUUCCUUUUGCACGAGAGACCAGGAACACACAGGGAAUUUUUGUAUUCCAAGCCUAUAAGCUUGCAAUUUGGGUAACUGAGUUACAGUCCAAUACAUGCCAUGUUAUUCCGUUAAUUGCGCCGAAAUUUCCAAGCGAAAAAGUACUAUACAUUAAAUAGGGUGUUAAUUCCCUGUUCAUUAGCUUCCAGGUUUCCAACUAUUCGACUGAAGUGAACCGAUCCACAUAAUUACCGCAUUUGAAGCAACAACUUCCUCCAAGAGUAAUUGCUUUCUAUUUUAAGGGUUAGACGAGUUAGGAUUCAUAUACACUACCCCUUGGUCUAGGCCACAAAGCGAAAUGUAACAACUCAUCUAUGGUUGGGCAGUCAGUCCAUUGUUCUUAUGCCACACAAUCUCUCUUCUUGGAUCAAGAGGGACCUGCAUUUAAGGGGUAUAUCACUCUAAGAUCCUCAAUAGGGUAAUGUUCGCGUUGCAGCAUUCUAGUGUCUACGUCAAAACUUAGCAACGCCAGCGGUAUUGUACUUUUGUGAGUCACGAGGUGAGUUUCCACGGCUUCUCACUUCUUAAGGGUAAAUAUACACAUUUGAACGUUAUGUUGUCAUGGGAUUGUGUAGCUUUUAAAAUGUAAGACGACAUUACACUGUUUAGUUUGUAAAGUAUAAGGCAACUUUACAUCAUAGCAUCAUGAUUCAAGAGAACAUUGACGUAACUAAGUUCCUAUGAAGACCCAUUAAGAUUUGGAUCGUCUUUCGCUUGUUCAUGUUGAGAUCCAAUAUAUUAAGAGCUCUUAUGUAGAGCAUAUCAGAUAAGGCAACAGUAUGCGUGCUGUGUACUUAGUUGUUCUGUCUACUGACACAUGAUACUGAUGGCCUCUGACCUUAAUUUCAUUGGUGAGGACAGAUCAGAUUAUAAGCCCGUCCUUUCUGAAACUAGCUUCAGUCGCAAAGGACUAAAUAUCGUCUUGCUUUUUUGAAAGGUCUAACUUUUGGAGCUGAGGAAUGAUGUUGAUAGUCAAGUAUUUGUUUGAAUGUUUAAGGAAUUAUUUUGCUUUGUUUUAAUAUGCUUGGUUUCACAUCAAUUCAUCAAGCAUAAAAGCUGAUCGCGCUUUGAAUAACAUUGCUUUCUUGAUAAUUGAUAAUCUUAACUCGAAUACUCUCCAAAGUUGAUGCAUAAAGCACCUUUACUGAUUCAUUUGUCACUGUCGAUUGUUUACAGGUUGCGCUAAAAACAUUGAUCGUCAUUCACCGCGCUUUAAGAGAGGUGGACCCUACAUUCCAGGAGGAACUUAUUAACUAUGGUCGCAGCAGAAAUCGCAUGCUUAACAUGGCUCAUUUCAAAGAUGACUCUAGUCCAAAUGGUAUAAAUAUUAUCUACCUUUUUCUUGCUUAUGGAAAGUUGGCCGUAGUGCUCUCUGAAAUUGAAAAUUGCUCUGAUUAACUCUUCAGCAUGGGAUUACUCUGCUUGGGUGCGUUCGUAUGCCUUGUUCCUAGAGGAGAGGCUGGAAUGUUUCCGAGUGCUGAAAUAUGAUGUGGAGACCGAUCGUCCGGUAAGAGAACCAUCCCUUUUAAUCUUUUCCAAUAUAUACAUAUGCAUAUACAUACAUAUAUAUUAGAUAUAUAUGUGUGUGUGUAUCCACACAAUAUAUGUGUGUGUGUGUACCUACAUAUUAUCUUUCUCAAAAAAAAAACAAAAAACAUAUGUAUGUAUCAAUCUUCUUAUAUUUAGAUGGCCUAUCUCUGUGGAUAUUAUCGGUCUUCUAUAUUAUGAGGAUCCAGUUGCUUUCUAUACAAAUCUUAUCUUUAGGUGAAGUGAAAUAUCGAGUGUUGAGAUUUCCUUAUAUUUUUGAUGCAUUUAAUGCAGAGAACUAAAGAUCUGGACACACCGGAGUUGCUUGAACAGUUACCAGCCUUACAGCAACUUCUGUAUCGUAUUAUCGGCUGUCAGGUAUGUUACUCUUCAUAAUCAGUUCGAUAUGGUGGUUACUUUGACAAAAUGUCCUUGAUUUAGAGCCCGUUUGGACAUAAGAAUUUUUUCACUUUUUUCGAAAAGUUAUCACUUUUUUUCGAAAUCAAUGUUUGGCCAUAAAAUUUUCAAUUUUCACUUGAAGAUGAAUUUUGUAAUUUUUCGAAAAUUUGAAAAACUACAAAAAGUUGUUUUUCAAAAUUUUCACUCAGAUCACUCACAAAACUUCAAAAACAACCCAAAAUUAUAUUCAUGUCCAAACACAACUCUAAUUUUCAAAUACCAUUUUCACUUGAAAUAUUUUUUCACUUUUUCUUGAAAUUUUACGAUUCUCAUGUCCAAACGCCCACUUAGAAUUUUAGAUUAGCAUAUACGUACAUUGUGCUUAAACUUAUGAUCAUGAAACUUUCGUGCAGCCACAAGGGGCGUCCGUUCACAAUUUUGUGGUUCAGUUGGCACUUUCAAUGGUAAGUGAUCUGUUCAUUGAUUUAUCAGAAACGAUUGAUGUAUUUGUUUUUUCACUAUCUGAUUGCUUAUUAUAAUUUUGAUAGGUUGCUUCAGAGAGCAUUAAAAUCUACAACGCUAUCAGUGAUGGUACAGUUAAUUUAGUUGACAAGGUAGGCUUUUCUUUUGGUUAUAAUAUAGAUAGUCUUAUUUCUCCUCUGUAAUAGCUAAAAACGGUUAACUGAGUUAUUUUCUUGACAGUUCUUUGAGAUGCAACGGAAUGAUGCUCUUAGGUCUCUUGAUAUAUACCGCAGAGCUGGUCAGCAGGUACCAUCCCGAGAGAUUAUUUUCAGAACCAGCUAAUAUACAUCAAAACAGUUCGAGUUACUGUGUUCCUUUAGGAAUAUAGACACCUUUGCUGACACAUCUCCAUUCAUUUUUAGGCUGAGGCACUUUCAGAGUUUUACGAAAUAUGUAAAAGUAUUGACGUGGGACGUGGCGAGAAAUUUAUUAAAAUUGAGCAGGUACGAUAUGACUUUUCUAAAAAAUAUAUGCAAUUCUUUUUUCUGAUUGCGAUUGUAGAUGUCUUCCUAAUCCUUUUGCAUUUAUUUAUUAUCAAGCCCCCUGCAUCAUUUUUACAAGCAAUGGAGGAGUAUGUGAGAGAAGCACCACGAGCUUCUACCGUGCGGAAAGAUUCGGUAAGCAAUCUUCUCUCACGCCUUGAUAAAUGUCAAUUAUCUCUGGACGGAGCUAGUAUACAUAAACGAAAUACUUAUAUUUAUUUAUGUUUGACAAGCCCCCUCACGUGCGAAUGUGAUUCUUUUUCUUGGGCGGAGCAUGUGAAAAUGCUUUUUUGAAAAUAAUGCAGUUCAAAAAACUGAGAGCUUAUGAUAUGUACAAGUCUGUUUUACUCCAACGAGAUCUUAAAUUUCUAUGCAAUUUAUAUUCAACUUCCAGGAACCCAAAGCUAUUUUGGCUAUUGAGUACAAAAAGGACUCAGAGGUCAAAGAUGCUGGCUCCCAUUCUCCCCCUCCACCUGAACCUGAAAAGGAACCUGAACCAAAGCCAGAGCCGGUUAAAACGGAAGCUCCGCCAGCAGAAC
rnacentral:lncRNA from 1 species